rnacentral:tmRNA from 1 species
CCCCUUUUCUUUUGCGCCGGGCACACCUAUAUCGCGGUUGUCGGUUUCGGCCGACUAUGGCGAUAAACUGCGGCGUACAAUAGGCGCAGCGGACCCGGGGGCAGUACCCGGCGGCUCCACCACUUCUCUUCGGUAUGCCGGGGGAAAUGACGGGGUCGAACUAGGAUCGACGUGUGUUGAAAAGCGCUGUUUUUGCCCGGGCUGAGUAACCCGUUAAAGGCUCAAAACUCAUAAGUGCCAACGAUAACGAAGCACUUGCUCUCGCAGCGUAAUUCUAGGGGCUAACGCCCUGAAGUUACAAAGUUAGAACGCGGUUGGACCCACCGGUCAACAGAAGCGGAUUCCGGGGGCUCGGGGUGGGCCCAGCAACAGAACCACCCCACU